rnacentral:tRNA from 1 species
GCCUGGUGGCUCAGUUGGUUGAGUGUCUGACUUCAGCUCAGGUCAUGAUACCAUGUCUGUGGGUUCAAGGCCCACAUCAGGCU